UUGCAGAWUYCCGUGAACCAUCGAGUUUUUGAACGCAAGUUGCGCCCAAAGCCAUUAGGCCGAGGGYACGUCUGCCUGGGYGUCACGC
rnacentral:rRNA from 1 species